AUACAACUUUCAACAACGGAUCUCUUGGCUCUCGCAUCGAUGAAGAACGCAGCGAAAUGCGAUAAGUAAUGUGAAUUGCAGAAUUCAGUGAAUCAUCGAAUCUUUGAACGCACCUUGCGCCCCUUGGUAUUCCGAGGAGUAUGCCUGUUUGAG
rnacentral:rRNA from 1 species